rnacentral:lncRNA from 1 species
ACGGUCCAGCAACCCAAAGUUGACUGGGAGACGACGGCCUAGAUCUCUCACGAACUCAUCGCAGCAUCCUCCUUGCGCCUCAUCCUGCGGUACCUGUUCUUGACCUGUGGGGGGUGUGAGACAGCAAGAGUGAGCUCACAUACGUUCAUCGCUCAACAAGUUGUGGGGAAUAAUGUGCAUGAACUCGCCAAAGGUGGGAGCUCACGUGAAGUGUAAGGCUUACCAAAGAGGAUGGUUAGAGCUGAGCAUUGCUUUUAAAGUUGGUCAAAAUUUUAUUAGCAAUUACUAAGUAUAAGUAAAUACCAACCCAAUUAAAUAGUAGAACAAAAGUAACAACAUCACCUGCGAUGCAAUGCAUAUGACAAAUUGAAUUUAGUUCCAUAAAUUAAUCAUCAGAGAGUCCUGAGCUGCUCAUGACCGUGAGCUCGGCUAGUAUACCAGUUUUACACUCUGCAGAGGUGGUACCCUUUACCCACAAGUCAUGUUACCCAUCUGCCAAGGGAUCGCGACUUCCCAUACACCUCUACCGAGGAGGCGAGGCAGGGUAACACUACGAGGCCUUUACAAAGUUCCACUAGCUUCAGAAAACCCGCUACAGUUUAUAGGAAGCUCCAAUGCAGGGUUCUUGCCUGACCGCCAUCGCAGCAAAAUCAACCAAGGACCUCCCUACACUGACCACUCCCCUACUGCCCUUGCCCCUUUCGGGUAAGGUAGUCCUCCACUAGCUUUCCUAAUUAAUCAGCCAAGGGCGUCCAUAAACCCUUGUGGUGGCACGUGUUUCUCAAGUUAAGCUCUAUGUUCCAAUUAACAUUAAUGAUCUUGACAUGAACAGUAAAUAACAACGGAUAACAAAAGUAUAAUCAUGAAUAAUGUGUAUCUCAAUGCCCAAAACCACAUAUAGCACUAGCAAGUACUACCCAAAAAGUUCAGUGGUAAACAAGGCAUAAAGAUAGACAAACUAGGGUAACCUAUUAGGUCCCAUCAAAAUUAACCUAUACAGAUCAUUAUGAUUAAUUAGAACAUGAGUGGGUAAAAGAAGUGAUCAAGGGCACAACUUGCCUGGCACUUGAGAUUCCAGGUACCAACUUGCUCUUCAGAUUCUCGUGACCUCACCGCUAUUCGUAGCAAUACAUACAAAUAGGCAAGAAUCAUAUAAAAAUAACAGUACACCAAACAUGAGAACAAACAGCGUAAGAAUAUUCUAUGCGAUGCUACAAGAUCGUGGGAUCGAGAACCACUAAAAUCGGAGUCAUGGUUAAGGAGUUAUGAUCUAUAAAAGCUCUACGUGACCUAAAUAUUAAACUAUAGUAUAGAUCAUAUGAGAGAUUAUUCUAUAAAUAAUUAUCUCAACUUUAAUCUAAGUCAUUAUUUUAUUAAAGAUUAUCUAGUUAAAUUAUAACCAUAAAGUUAGAAUACUAUAUUAAUAUUAAAGAAAUUAAUCCAAUAAACAUAGAUUAACCCAAUUAUAAAAGUACGGGAUAUCAUACAAUAAGUGUUUCUAUUGUGUAGUAGAUAUUUAUACAAAACUAACACAACUUGAACGGAUCAAUUCGGAGUUAAAACGGGGAAGUUAUGAAUUUCUGAAGAUUUUAUGUGUUCGGUAUAAGAUUAAAUAUGAUAUUAAUUUUAAUGUAACUUUAAUGUCAAAACAGAGAUAGUAUGUGAUACACAAUAAUAUUAUAGAAUUAUAGAAAUUGGAAUGGGUCAAUUUGAAGUUCAUAUGAAUUUUAUAUGAAUUAAACAAACUCUAGCCAUUAAAAAUAGAUUUCUAAUUCCUUUUCCUGGAUUUCCUAUUCACUGGACUGGGCGCAUGAGUACAUAAAAAUCCAGGGGCUAAACCAUAAAUAUUUCCCAGACUCAGAGUACUACACAAUGGAUCGCGGGUUGAUUCCCAAAUUCUUCGAGGUCUCUUAUGCAAAACUACGUAGCCGAAGGGGUAUCGUUGCUUUUCGGCCGUCCGAUCAAAACGAACGGCCCAGAUUUGCUCUGAUAAAAAAUCCGAACCGGUACGUAAUCUUAACCGUUGGAUCAUAGAUCUACGGAUCAAAACCCCACACGCCCACAUCUAAUCCCAACCGCUUACUAGAGGAUCGACGGUCCGGAUCGGAUCUCCGAGCCGCCAUCUACCGCAUCUAUCUUUGGCCCACGAUCGAGAUCCCACGGUCAAGAUCGCCCCCACCCUUCGUCAUGGAUCCGAUGGCUCACGAGCUUCUUCUCCACGCGAAUACCAGGUCUGGCAGCACCGUUCCCCCCCCCCUACGGCGGACGCCAUAGCUAGACCACCCAUUCACCGCUCCCGGGCACGAAAUUCUAAUCUGAGGUACGCUACGCGCAGAUAAGAUGUAGGAGAAUAGGAUGAAGGCUCCAUACCGGGGUUCGCAGGCAACGGAGGAGGCGGUCCACGACAGCGUGCGGAUCCAGGCCGAGCACCACACCGGUGAGGAAUCGCCAAGCGUCGGAGACCCCAUCUCACCCCAGUUGACCACGAUCAUCUUCGUGGGAACCAGACGGGGCUCCCAGACCCGUUCCCGGAUCCGAACGGUGGCACACCACGGCCCCACCCGGGCGGCAGUGUUUUUAUCUUAUGCGGCUCCAUCAAUGGCUACGGGAGCGCUGGUUCUUAUAUGCCCAAGAGCCCCGACCGAGUUAUGGACUCCGAUGAAGCUCGCCCGGAGAUCCCGCGAGACCGGUUGGAUAUGCCCAAGGGAAAGGGCAAGGCGUCCGCACUAAUCCCGCGUUGAACGCAUGCGCUCCCGAGAUCUCCUCGGUUUGUUGCGGUGGAGACCAGGUCGACGAAGGAGGCGGGUCUGCCAACACGGUCCCACACGGCGGUGAAACAACAGUCGCGACCGAGCAGGGGAAGGAAACAGCGGUUGGUGGGCUGGCUGCGUGGAGUUUGGAGAUGGGCCGAGCAGAGAAGAAGCGGCCCAGGCGCUAUCUUUCUCCCUUUUUAUUUUCUGAUUUCUUUUUUUUCCUUUUUUUUCCUAUUUCAAACCUCAAUUUGAAUUCAAUUCUUGUGGCGAAUUUGUACUCGAAUUUUGAAUGUAUGGUUUGAACAUAUUAUUUGGAUUAAAUUCAUUUUGUUUACAAAUUUAUUUUAUAUUCUAUGGUCUUUUCUCCCUUCCUUCCCUAUUUUCAACCCAAGUCUAAAUUUAGGUUUUACUUCAAAUCCUCUUCUCAUUAUUAUUAUAUUUUAAUUCAUAUUAUUGCUAUUCUUAUUAUCAUUACCACUGUAGACAAAUGCACAAACCAAUAAACACCAGCAUGAUGCAUGAUUUAAUUGUAUUUAUAUUCUUAUUAAUCAUUUAUUUUCAAAUGAAGUGUUCACAUGUGAUGAUAAAUGGAAAAAAAACACAUAUAAAGGAAAGGAAAUUCUCCUUUUAUUUCUUUUACAAAAUGGGUAUUACAAAUCCUACCCCCUUAAAAAUAAUCUCGUCCUCGAGAUUUGUAAGAAAAGGGAUAUAGAAAGUCAAAUGUUUGGUUGCAGUUUAGCUUCGAGUUUUUUUCCCAAGUGGUUUUAAGCACAAAUGUUUUCUAUAUACUUUUUUUAGUCAUUAAAUAAGGAAAUGAUUAGGAACACAUGGGUAUAUUAGGCAGAAGUAGAGAAGGUUGCGGUAAUAAGGAUUAGGGCAAAUAAAGAUUUCGUUAUGGAUGGUGGAUCUUGACUCAUCUGGUGAUUUCGUUUUGCCCUUUGAAGACUUGAGUUGGUGCUUAUCCUCCCUUGACGUGGUUGGUCUUCUUUGGCCCUCGAUCCUGGAGUUGCCAUCCGAGUUGAGGACAUAUGUCUAAGGAUAUAUAAUUAGGAUAGCCGGGGUACACGAGGUAGGUAGGUUUGAACAAAGUUUUACUUUACUUUUGUGAUAUCUGGAUUAGACAACCUAUGAUGUAGGUUAGGUUGUUGUUUACGGACCAGUUAGUCCAAGGUAUUAAUUUAGGGUAAGAUAUGUUUACAAAAUUAGGGUCUAAUUUAUGUCGCCAACAUUGUCUAACUUGUUUUUAAGUAACUCAAUUUGGAUUAGAUCAUGUUAGAUUAGGUGGGAUCUAGAUCAGAUUGGUAUAACUAGAUAAGAUCUAUUUAUAUUAGGCUAGAUCAUGGUUGUUACUGUAGAAUGGGAUAUGUAUGCCUAUUAGAACAAGAUAAUUCCAUAAGGAUAAGGUAGAAUCGUUUGAGGUCAGUUAGAUCUAUUAGGAUGACAUAAGACCCUUUUUAAGAUAAGAUGAGUAUUUUUUUAGGAUAAGAUGGAUCUAUGAGUGUAGGAUAGAAUCUUUUAAGAUGAGAUGGAUAUUGUUAGGCUAGAUACUUUAAUGAGGGAUAAUCUAGUUUAUCUAGUUUUUUUAAGUGUUUUUUCUAUAUGUAUAUGCAGAUGUAAUUGUGGAGAUUACUCCACAACUCAUCACACCCAAUCAAAGAUCCAAAUCAGACAAGUAUCAUAAGAACGAAAAUUCAAGUACAUAAAUACCUACAAAAAUAGUUUGUUUUUUGUUCCUAUAAGUAGGUCUCCUAUUCCUAAAAGUCACUUUAGGUGUAGGAUUUCAAAGUGUGAAAUCCACAUUUGUCUUUAGAAAGAAAAGGUAAGAGUAAUCAGAGUAGAGCGGAAAUAGAUUAGAAAAGAUUACGAUAAGUUUAGAAAAGAUCAGAGUAGCAAAGGUAAGUGAGUAUUGGUUGUCCAGUUCUAUCUAGGUUUCGUCCUACAGUCAACAUUCCUCUGAUACCACUUCUGUCACACCCGGGUUUUAGGGGUUCAAAGCCCGGGCGCGAACAUAAUCACCAGGUGUGCUGGGACCAAGUCUCACACAUAUGAUGAAUCAUGGCACAGGAUCGAAUGUCACAUCUUUACUAUAUAAUAGGAGUUCUAUACAAAAUAAAUAAAUAAUUACAUUAUAAGGAGACAACGGUCCAGCAACCCAAAGUUGACUGGGAGACGACGGCCUAGAUCUCUCACGAACUCAUCGCAGCAUCCUCCUUGCGCCUCAUCCUGCGGUACCUGUUCUUGACCUGUGGGGGGGUGUGAGACAGCAAGAGUGAGCUCACAUACGUUCAUCGCUCAACAAGUUGUGGGGAAUAAUGUGCAUGAACUCGCCAAAGGUGGGAGCUCACGUGAAGUGUAAGGCUUACCAAAGAGGAUGGUUAGAGCUGAGCAUUGCUUUUAAAGUUGGUCAAAAUUUUAUUAGCAAUUACUAAGUAUAAGUAAAUACCAACCCAAUUAAAUAGUAGAACAAAAGUAACAACAUCACCUGCGAUGCAAUGCAUAUGACAAAUUGAAUUUAGUUCCAUAAAUUAAUCAUCAGAGAGUCCUGAGCUGCUCAUGACCGUGAGCUCGGCUAGUAUACCAGUUUUACACUCUGCAGAGGUGGUACCCUUUACCCACAAGUCAUGUUACCCAUCUGCCAAGGGAUCGCGACUUCCCAUACACCUCUACCGAGGAGGCGAGGCAGGGUAACACUACGAGGCCUUUACAAAGUUCCACUAGCUUCAGAAAACCCGCUACAGUUUAUAGGAAGCUCCAAUGCAGGGUUCUUGCCUGACCGCCAUCGCAGCAAAAUCAACCAAGGACCUCCCUACACUGACCACUCCCCUACUGCCCUUGCCCCUUUCGGGUAAGGUAGUCCUCCACUAGCUUUCCUAAUUAAUCAGCCAAGGGCGUCCAUAAACCCUUGUGGUGGCACGUGUUUCUCAAGUUAAGCUCUAUGUUCCAAUUAACAUUAAUGAUCUUGACAUGAACAGUAAAUAACAACGGAUAACAAAAGUAUAAUCAUGAAUAAUGUGUAUCUCAAUGCCCAAAACCACAUAUAGCACUAGCAAGUACUACCCAAAAAGUUCAGUGGUAAACAAGGCAUAAAGAUAGACAAACUAGGGUAACCUAUUAGGUCCCAUCAAAACUAACCUAUACAGAUCAUUAUGAUUAAUUAGAACAUGAGUGGGUAAAAGAAGUGAUCAAGGGCACAACUUGCCUGGCACUUGAGAUUCCAGGUACCAACUUGCUCUUCAAAUUCUUGUGACCUCACCGCUAUUCGUAGCAAUACAUACAAAUAGGCAAGAAUCAUAUAAAAAUAACAGUAUACCAAACAUGAGAACAAACAGCGUAAGAAUAUUCUAUGCGAUGCUACAAGAUCGUGGGAUCGAGAACCACUAAAAUCGGAGUCAUGGUUAAGGAGUUAUGAUCUAUAAAAGCUCUACGUGACCUAAAUAUUAAACUAUAGUAUAGAUCAUAUGAGAGAUUAUUCUAUAAAUAAUUAUCUCAACUUUAAUCUAAGUCAUUAUUUGAUUAAAGAUUAUCUAGUUAAAUUAUAACCAUAAAGUUAGAAUACUAUAUUAAUAUUAAAGAAAUUAAUCCAAUAAACAUAGAUUAACCCAAUUAUAAAAGUAUGGGAUAUCAUACAAUAAGUGUUUCUAUUGUGUAGUAGAUAUUUAUACAAAACUAACACAACUUGAACGGAUCAAUUCGGAGUUAAAACGAGGAAGUUAUGAAUUUCUGAAGAUUUUAUGUGUUCGGUAUAAGAUUAAAUAUGAUAUUAAUUUUAAUGUAACUUUAAUGUCAAAACAGAGAUAGUAUGUGAUACACAAUAAUAUUAUAGAAUUAUAGAAAUUGGAAUGGGUCAAUUUGAAGUUCAUAUGAAUUUUAUAUGAAUUAAACAAACUCUAGCCAUUAAAAAAUAGAUUUCUAAUUCCUUUUCCUGGAUUUCCUAUUCACUGGACUGGGCGCAUGAGUACAUAAAAAUCCAGGGGCUAAACCAUAAAUAUUUCCCAGACUCAGAGUACUACACAAUGGAUCGCGGGUUGAUUCCCAAAUUCUUCGAGGUCUCUUAUGCAAAACUACGUAGCCGAAGGGGUAUCGUUGCUUUUCGGUCGUCCGAUCAGAAACGAACAGCCUAGAUUUGCUCUGAUAAAAAAAUCCGAACCGGUACGUAAUCUUAACCGUUGGAUCAUAGAUCUAUGGAUCAAAACCCCACACGCCCACAUCUAAUCCCAACCGCUUACUAGAGGAUCGACGGUCCGGAUCGGAUCUCCGAGCCGCCAUCUACCGCAUCUAUCUUUGGCCCACGAUCGAGAUCCCACGGUCAAGAUCGCCCCCACCCUUCGUCAUGGAUCCGAUGGCUCACGAGCUUCUUCUCCACGCAAAUACCAGGUCUGGCAGCACCGUUCCCCCCCUACGGCGGACGCCAUAGCCAGACCACCCAUUCACCGCUCCCGGGCACGAAAUUCUAAUCUGAGGUACGCUACGCGCAGAUAAGAUGUAGGAGAAUAGGAUGAAGGCUCCAUACCGGGGUUCGCAGGCAACGGAGGAGGCGGUCCACGACAGCGUGCGGAUCCAGGCCGAGCACCACACCGGUGAGGAAUCGCCAAGCGUCGGAGACCCCAUCUCACCCCAGUUGACCACGAUCAUCUUCGCGGGAACCAGACGGGGCUCCCAGACCCGUUCCCGGAUCCGAACGGUGGCACACCACGGCCCCACCCGUGGCGGCAGUGUUUUUAUCUUAUGCGGCUCC